UUAGGAAUCUUCCACAAUGGGCGCAAGCCUGAUGGAGCGACGCCGCGUGAGGGAUGAAGGUUCUCGGAUCGUAAACCUCUGAAUCAACGACGAAAGACACUUAGGUGGGAUGACGGUAGUUGAGUAAUAGCACCGGCUAACUCCGUGCCAGCAGCCGCGGUAAUACGGAGGGUGCAAGCGUUACCCGGAAUCACUGGGCGUAAAGGGCGUGUAGGCGGCCCCAUAAGUCUGAUUUUAAAGACCGAGGCUCAACCUCGGGAGGGGAUUUGAUACUGUGGGACGUGACCGCUGGAGAGAGAAUCGGAAUUCCUGGUGUAGCGGUGGAAUGCGUAGAUACCAGGAGGAACACCCAUGGCGAAGGCAGAUUCUUGGACAGAAGGUGACGCUGAGGCGCGAAAGUGUGGGGAGCGAACC
rnacentral:rRNA from 1 species